CUAUUCCAACGAUACAUGUAAAAUCGCAGGUAAGCUUACCUUGAGUUUAUCUUUGAAACUAUACGAUAUUGCAUCUAAUAGUUCUGUAUAUGUGAGCCUGUGGAACUCAUUUAUACUACUAAAACGAGGAGGCCGCUUUUAGAUAAGUUUCAGAAUUUAAUUUUGAAUCAUUUGUAGCAGUCACGUUUGUCAUGAUUCAAAUAAGUCAGCCGCCGCUUGAAAUAAUUCCCUUCCGUGUAAAAAGUUAAGCAUCUCUAAUCAGAUGAAGAAUGAACACCGGCGGCUAAUCUACAUUUCUUUGCGCAUACAAACUUUUUCUCUUCUUUAUAUAACCGAUCGGUCUCACUAUAUUGCAAAACCAAUACGAAUGGUUAGGUUUCAGCCUCCGAAGAGUCCUCUUUCGCGUAGUCUUAUCAAUGUUCGCCAGAUAACGAUUUGAACGCAAAAAGGGUAUUGGCGCGAGAUGGUUGAAUGCAUAAGAUUCGGGAGGGAAUGAGCUAACGAAUCUUAAAACUAUUGUCCAAGAAGUUCGGUUUUCGAAAAUACGAAUCUUACUUCGGUAAAAUUACGUACUUCCGGUUAGCUAAGACUGAAAUUCGGCAUUCUGAGGGUUUUAGGGAAAAGAUCUAAUCCAUUUCCAUCUAGACCGUGGAAGAGGCUAGAGUGCGUGUUUUUACUUUUGUUCCGCGGUGCGUGUUAGAAGGUGUUGCGUUAAUAUUAGCAGUAGAAAGUGCGGGAAAAGAUCGUGUGCGUUGGAAGGAAAUUAUAACAAAGCCGUGCGACGGCUUUUUAUUCCCUACUUUAGACGCUCUUCGGCUCGCCGCACCGUUCUUCAUCCAGCGACGCGCUCUAGACCCCACGCUCUGGCUUGGAAAUUCUGGCAAUCUCCGUCAAAAUCGCCAGAAGGGCGAAGUUCGUCAUUUUCCGCCCAUCAGAGCCACACGUCACAACCAACCGGUGUGCACGUUUUUUGUUGCUGACAGCAGUCCGGCGUUCCGACACUGUCAGCAGUUACCCACGAAGGACGUCCAGCCGUAAACCCGCUCCGGCGUCGGCAUACUGAAACGCCGUCAGCGCAGAAUCAUUCGUAUCGACGCCAGCAUCGUCAUCAUUCGGCGGAGCGUCGCAAUACAGGCAGGUAGCAGCGAAGAAAGCUGUAAGUACGCUAUAAAUUAAAUCCAUGCGCAUGGUUAAAAGGGGGUAGCCUAGACACCCACCUAAAAGUGAGCUUUAAAUCUAGUAUUAUGGCACCUUAACGAAGCAAGCUAGAUAUCCACCCGCACACAGUUAGGUAUCAAUUAGUAUAGGCAACACCGAGAUGGAAACCUAGGUUAGGAUUACGAAUUGCUAAAGUUACUUAAUAAAUAUAAAUAUGUUUCUGUUAUUUCGAUAAAUGAUGUGUAUAUUAUUCAGGUAGAUAGCUGCUAUAGUUAAACAGAUGUUACUGGUUUGAGGAGGUAUCUCAUGUUUCGCGUCGUAAUAAUUGUGUAGUUGUUGUGGUUUACUCCGAGUUGGACUACUUGGGAAUCUUAGUCCCACCACUCGCGUUUCGGAUACGGUUUAGGGUUCUGGGUGGACGAUUUCCUCCAGUGAUGAUACGCGCGAGUUGGUGUUCUUAGGUUAUCUGGAUAGACAAACGAAUUUCUUGGGUUUUGUUGCGGUAUAGUUGAUUGUUGAACUGAGUACCUUUCGGAUCGGUUGUGUUUGCCAGAUCGUUCCCCUAAACUCUUUUAUAACGACCCGCCCUGAGGCUGGGUUUCUGGUCGGGCAACCCUAGGCACGACAAGUGGUCCUCGAAAGAGGUGGCGCUUAAACCAUUUGUUCGGAUAGGUGGAGCGAUUAGACAGACUGAUAUUGGUAGCAUCGUCGUGCACGUUACACAUUUGAAGCGUUUAAUUCCUGGUGGGACAACAACUUGUUCAGUCACAUUGUCACGUUUUGUUCGUAUGGGAAUUGAGAUUUAAGUAUGCAAACCGAUCCGUUGGCCAAUUAAAACAUUUUUAAGUUUACAAUAUUGAAGCUUUGGAAUCAUUUAAAUUAGGAAAAUCCAUUAACAAAUCAUUGAGGAACAAGCGCUGCAAAUUAGAUCCGAAAAAUCAAUCGCCGAUCAUUCUAAAUUGGCCUGAUAGUUACAAGAGAACCAAAAUAAAAUGCUCAAUUCAAACCAAUUUUUCAAAGGUAUGCAAUUGAAAUAUUCAAAUGAAGUUAUCUCAUAAGUUUAAGUUAAAUGUUUCCGAAUCGAUUUGUUGUUGAAUUAUAUAAAUCCAUCAACAAAUGACUGAGUUAUAAGCGUUCAAACUUAUGACAGAAAAAUGUCAAGCGAUUGGUUUUGCAUGUUUUAAAUUGACACUUAGCCUCGUGUAGCGAAGAGUGAGGUAUUUUAAUGGCAAAAUCGACCAAAAAUUUGCUAAAUACAUGGGAUAUUUCAAAAGAAUCGUCACGCUAAUUCGGUUCUUCAAUAGCUAGAUGAUAUAUAAGAUACUAAAGCGAACACGGUGUUGCGCAGACAACAGGAAAUUUCACCAACACAUAAUGCAAAAGUGACAAUCCAGCAAGUGAACGCAUAUACAAUCCAGUCAUCAGCUCACUGGACGAGCUACUUGUUUCAUUCACAGUCAAACAUCAACUAGACAAAGAAACACUGUGCAGCCUAUAUUUAUAGAUUUCUCUUCAUACUACGCAGAACGAUGCGGUGUUUACUAUGCAUGACGCAAAGCCUCCUAUGCCGAACAAGAAGUUGACGUCAUUUUGUACAACAGGGAUUGAUGGAUGAAAACAUAGGUCGAUUCCAACCAUUUUUUCAACAGUAUGCUAUUGAAAUACUGAAACGACGUUGUCAUACAUGUUUAAUGUCGUUUUCGUUUUUAAAUUGCACUACACUGGUGUAGCGAAAGCUGCACUGAAACCGUUCGUUUUUACCAAUUGCACUACACCAGUGCUACACUUUUUCUGCACCGAUACCACUGGUGUAGCACUCAUCAAAAGUUUGGUGUAGCUCUGUGCAAUGGAAUCGUGUAUUGUAGUCAAUGGUUACUGUUUAUGUUUUCGUCAUUUUUGUUCGUUUAUUCAUGCCUCAGUGUAGCACUGCACCGGUGUAGUGCAAAUUAAAAACGAAAACGCCAUAAGUUAAAAGUUUCCGAAUCGAUUGGUUGUUAAAUUAUAACAAUCCAUCAACAAAUGACCGAGUUAUUAACGCUCAAAAUUAUGACACAAAAAGGUUACGCGACUAUUUUUGAAACUUUUAAUUGACACCCGGCCCCAUAUAGUGAAGAGUAAGGCAUUUUUAAUGCCAAAACGGCGGAAGCAAAGUUGUACACCUGAUAUUAUUUGUUUCGGAAAUGAAACUAAGUUGUUCUGUCUUAUCGGAAUUGUUUAUGAAUUACUACCUGCUGAAUAAAUGCAUAUAAAAAUUAAAAGCUUCACACCAAGGAGAAUCCUUUCCGGAACAGCAAGAGCCGAGGCAAAAAAAAAAUCGUGUAAUAUCUAUAAUAAGCUUCAUGUUCUAAUAGAGAACGAAAAUACAAAAUGAAAAAAAACGCGACCUGCUGUGAGUUGCAUUUCUACGGGUUUUCCACUCGCUUUCCCUCAAAGGACCGAUGAAGAGUGUUUCCAAACGCCAGCGGAGCCGGAAGAUUGUGGUCCAGCUAGCGGAUGCCAGCAGACAGAAUAGCGUUCGUGAACAAUCGGUUGCACCGGAGACGGUGUC